CAAAAACAUGUCCUUUUGUAAAUAAUUUAAGGUCUAGCCUGCCCACUGAUAUUUUAAAUGGCCGUGGUAUUUUGACCGUGCUAAGGUAGCAUAAUCAUUAGUUUUUUAAUUAAAAACUGGAAUGAAAGGUUGGAUGAGAAAAUAGCUGUCUCUAUUAAAUUUAAUUAGAAUUUUAUUUUUAAGUUAAAAAGCUUAAUUGUUAUUAAAAGACGAGAAGACCCUAUAGAGUUUAAUUAUUUAAUAAAAAUUAUAUUUUAGUAUUAAUUUAUUUAUUUUAUUGAAUAAUUUAAUUGGGGUGAUUGAAAAAUUUAAUUAACUUUUUUUAUUUAAGAACAUUAAUUUAUGAAUAAAUGAUCCGAUAUUUUUGAUUAUAAGAUAAAAUUACCUUAGGGAUAACAGCGUAAUUUUUUUAGAAAGUUCAUAUUAAAAAAAAAGAUUGCGACCUCGAUGUUGGAUUAAAAUAAAUUUUUGGUGUAGAAGCUAAAAUAUUAGGUCUGUUCAACCUUUAAAAUUUUACAUGAUCUGAG
rnacentral:rRNA from 1 species